GGAUCCAGACUUUGAUUAUGGCUCAGGACGAACGCUGGCGGCGCGCCUAACACAUGCAAGUCGAGCGGGAAGCUUUUUAAGGAUUCUUCGGAUGAAUUAAAAAGUGGAGAGCGGCGGACGGGUGAGUAACGCGUGAGAAACCUGCCCUAUACAGGGGGAUAGCCAUUGGAAACGAUGAUUAAUACCCCAUAUGACCACAGUAUCGCAUGAUACAGCGGUGAAAACUCCGGUGGUAUAGGAUGGUCUCGCGUCUGAUUAGCUAGUUGGUGGGGUAACGGCCUACCAAGGCGACGAUCAGUAGCCGGCCUGAGAGGGUGACCGGCCACACUGGAACUGAGACACGGUCCAGACUCCUACGGGAGGCAGCAGUGGGGAAUAUUGCACAAUGGGCGAAAGCCUGAUGCAGCGACGCCGCGUGAACGAUGAAGGCUUUCGAGUCGUAAAGUUCUGUUCUUGGGGAAGAUAACGACGGUACCCAAGGAGAAAGCACCGGCUAAAUACGUGCCAGCAGCCGCGGUAAU
rnacentral:rRNA from 1 species